UUUUAAAAGGCAUUCUUACCGUCAAGAUUAAGAAAGUCGAGUUUACAAGCGACUUAAAUGAAUGGAAUCAUUGAGUUCUAAGGGAAGAAGUUGAUUGGCCUAAAACACAAAUACCACACAUAAAGAAUGGACAAAACAUGUCAUGAGAAGUCAAAUGCAAAUCUCAAUUACGUGGUAUUUAUGGAAAUAAUGGAAAAAUCACCCCUACAUAGCAAUAAGAAGCCACCAAUACGAUGAUUAGGGUGUACUUAAUAAUUCUAUAAGCCCUUGAAAUCCAAUGGCAAGGAAUGUGCUCAGUAUUACCAGCCACACCUGUCAAAUUAAUGCACCACAACUUGCAGUGUGGGAAAACCAGAAAUCACUAAAGCAUCUUUAUCCAGGAACCUAAAAAUGGGAACACAGCAACUAACAAUCUCAAGAGUAGGGGUGCAUUGCUUUUUCUCCUUCUCCUACCCAGUUUGCCAUUUGCUGAAGAUUUUUUUUGAGUCUGAUGUGCUCUUUGAGAUGGUUGCUGCAUGGAUUCCAUUUCAUCUAGCUCAUCCCAUCCACCAAGAUUGGGUGUGCCUUGGCUGUCCCUAUUAACUGAACCAUUAACUACCCAAGAUUGAAACUCCUUAUUUCCCUUCUUGGUCUUCUUCCUUUCUUCUAGCUCUUCAUCAUCCAUUUCAACAUUGCUGGAAGAGCUGCCAAAUGGUUUCCUCUUCUUUCUGGCCUUGGAGUUUGGCUUACUUUGUGUGCUCCCCCACAACUUUCCAAACACAAAAGUUAGGGCUGACUGCCCUAGAGGAAGGGCUAAUGCCAUAAGGAAAGCUUUGGGGCCAGUAGCUAUCAGCCAAGAUAAGAUGAUGGGUGGAAGUGCCCAACCAUAGGAUUUGAAUAACUGCACUGACCAAUGAGCAAAAACUAUUGAGACAUUUUGGAACUAUUUCAAAUUCAAUUCUCUAAUAGAAAUGCCAAAUCAUAUUUUUGCACAAAUGUAAUUUCUCAAAAAUUAAUGUUGCAGCAAAUAAAACUGAUUAUCCGAAUAGCUCAACACAUUCAUCAUCUGAAACUCGAUGGACACUAAAGUAGCAGCACUGCAGCAGUAUCACAAACCUUCCUUAACGAACAAAACUUACACUACACUAGUUAAUGACUGCACGAGUGCGUACGCAAAAAUCUAAGGUUGGGGUGAAACCUUAACAACCAACAGGUUAUCUAACAAAAAAGGGAAUAAUAUGGGAAAAUAAAGCAGUGGAGCCUAAUCAGAGGAAUAACAGAGCACAUGAAGUUCCUUAUGGUUAUAACUUUACCAUCAAUGGCAAAAGGUGCCAACUCCAAGUAGGAGAAUCUUGUUUGUUCAAACAGCACAAAUGCCUGGCCACAGCAGCCAAAAUGCCAUUUUGUUAACAAAAUCUGUAAUUACCAUCAACCCUUUCAUAAUCAAUGAUCUGGGUACAUUAAAGUGUAAUUGAUUAUAAAAUUAUUAAUUAUUAAACUCAAAAAAAUUUUCUCAAGAGCACAACCCCCAUCCUAUGAUUUCCAACACAAAAGAAGACAUGUUUAUGCUUCCAAGUAAGACAAGAAAGUAAAAUAGCACACUUAUUUUCAAACGAAUUGUUGAACGAUUAACUCAAAAACGAAAGCGCAAACGCCAUAGCAGGAUAAAUUAAGGUGAGCUAAUAUAGUACAUGGACAAAGGACAAAAAACAAGUGAUAAAAAUUAACUACCUUAAAAAUCCAAAGACUAUCAACAAAUUCCUCCAAAAUUCCAGUAUCUUCUUCUUCUUCUUCUUCCACCAUACCCGGUGGCUUAUCCAACCACCACCUCCGCUUCUUGCCCUUCCUUCUAUAAUCUUCUACUUCUUCAUUUCGUUCUUCCAUGUCACCGUUUUCCCUAUAUUUGUUGUUCUUGUCUCGAAACUUGAAUUUGAAUUUCUUAGACCCAACGGAUUCAGCAUUGGAGUCCCAGCGCCUAUAGCUGGCGGAGGUGGUGGCGGGUGUGAUAAUAGCAAUGUUUGAUUUCCGAAAAAUAUAAUAGGAGUAAAAAUUGGAUGUUUUGAAUGGAAAAAGAGGUUUUUGAUGAAAUUGGAUGAAGCCAGGUUUUGUUAACAGAAGGAGACCACCACCACCUCCGCCGCCAGCACCACCGCUCUCCAUUUGCAAUUGCAGCCGCUACAAAUAGCAGACGCAGCACUGCCACGUAGCUCCUCCAUUUGCCGUAUUCUCAUUAUACCCUUUAUUAGUUCAAUUUUGAUUUGCUUCGAUUCCACACUAAAAAGGGCGC
rnacentral:misc_RNA from 1 species